rnacentral:rRNA from 1 species
CCUGGCGGCAAUAGCGCAGUGGAACCACCUGACCCCAUGCCGAACUCAGAAGUGAAACGCUGUAGCGCCGAUGGUAGUGUGGNNN